GAUGAAGAACGCAGCGAAAUGCGAUAAGUAAUGUGAAUUGCAGAAUUCAGUGAAUCAUCGAAUCUUUGAGCGCACCUUGCGCCCUUUGGACAUUCCGAAGGGCAUACCUGUUUGAGUAUCAUGAACACCUCAACUCUCACGGCUUGUCCGUGAUGAGCUUGGACUUUGGGGGUCUUGCCGGCCUGUGGUCGGCUCCUCUCAAAUGGAUCAGCUUGCCAGUGUUUGGUGGCAUCACAGGUGUGAUAACUAUCUGCGCUUGUGGUUUUCCAUCAGAUAACCUUCAGUGAUAUGGAGGUUCGCUGGAGCUCACAAAUGUCUCUCCUUAGUGAGGACAGCUCUUUGAACGUUUGAUCUCAAAUCAGGUAGGACUACCCGCUGAACUUAAGCAUAUCAAUAAGCGGAGGA
rnacentral:misc_RNA from 1 species